rnacentral:rRNA from 1 species
UGGGGAAUAUUGCACAAUGGGCGGAAGCCUGAUGCAGCGACGCCGCGUGGGGGAUGAAGGCCUUCGGGUUGUAAACUCCUUUCGACAGGGACGAAGCUUUUUGUGACGGUACCUGUAUAAGAAGCACCGGCUAACUACGUGCCAGCAGCCGCGGUAAUACGUAGGGUGCGAGCGUUGUCCGGAAUUACUGGGCGUAAAGAGCUCGUAGGUGGUUUGUCGCGUCGUCUGUGAAAUUCCGGGGCUUAACUCCGGGCGUGCAGGCGAUACGGGCUAACUUGAGUGCUGUAGGGGAGACUGGAAUUCCUGGUGUAGCGGUGAAAUGCGCAGAUAUCAGGAGGAACACCGAUGGCGAAGGCAGGUCUCUGGGCAGUUACUGACGCUGAGGAGCGAAAGCAUGGGUAGCGAACAGG